AUUGAACGCUGGCGGCAGGCCUAACACAUGCAAGUCGAACGAGUGGCGGACGGGUGAGUAAUGUCUGGGAAAGUGCCUGAUGGAGGGGGAUAACUACUGGAAACGGUAGCUACUACCGCACACCAUCAGAUGUGCCUAGAUGGGAUUAGCUUGGUGGUGGGGUAACGGCUCACUAAGGCGACGAUCCCUAGCUGGUCUGAGAGGAUGACCAGCCACACUGGAACUGAGACACGGUCCAGACUCCUACGGGAGGCAGAAGUGGGGAAUAUUGGACAAUGGGCGAAAGCCUGAUGCAGCCAUGCCGCGUGUGUGAAGAAGGCCUUCGGGUUGUAAAGUACUUUCAGCUGGGAGGCGUUACCCACAGAAGAAGCACCGGCUAACUCCGUGCCAGCAGCCGCGGUAAUUC
rnacentral:rRNA from 1 species